rnacentral:rRNA from 1 species
GCGAGUCAUUGUAGCAAUACAAGGCAGACGGCUCAGUAACGCGUAGUCAAUCUACCCUAUGGACGGGAAUAACCUCGGGAAACUGAGAAUAAUGCCCGACAGAACAUUAUACCUGGAACGGUUUAUGUUUCAAAUGAUUUAUCGCCGUAGGAUGGGACUGCGGCCUAUCAGUUCGUUGGUGAGGUAAUGGCCCACCAAGACUAUUACAGGUACGGGCUCUGAGAGGAGUAGCCCGGAGAUGGGUACUGAGACACGGACCCAGGCCCUAUGGGGCGCAGCAGGCGAGAAAACUUUGCAAUGUGCGAAAGCACGACAAGGUUAAUCCGAGUGGUUCCUGCUAAAGAAACCUUUUGCUAGUCCUAGAAACACUAGUGAAUAAGGGGUGGGCAAGUUCUGGUGUCAGCCGCCGCGGUAAAACCAGCACCUCAAGUGGUCAGGAUGAUUAUUGGGCCUAAAGCAUCCGUAGCUCGUUUUGUAAGUUUUCGGUUAAAUCCAUACGCUUAACGUAUGGGCUGCCGGGAAUACUGCAUAACUAGGAAGUGGGAGAGGUAGACGGUACUCGGUAGGAAGGGGUAAAAUCCUUUGAUCUAUUGAUGACCACCUGUGGCGAAGGCGGUCUACCAGAACACGUUCGACGGUGAGGGAUGAAAGCUGGGGGAGCAAACCGGAUUAGAUACCCGGGUAGUCCCAGCUGUAAACUAUGCAAACUCAGUGAUGCAUUGGCUUGUGGCCAAUGCAGUGCUGCAGGGAAGCCGUUAAGUUUGCCGCCUGGGAAGUACGUACGCAAGUAUGAAACUUAAAGGAAUUGGCGGGGGGAGCACCACAAGGGGUGAAGCCUGCGGU